UUUCUUCUGUUUCUUAACCUUCUUUUGCAAUGUAACUAUUUUGUUUCUCUUUUUUUGGUUCUUAGCUACAUGGCUAGUUGCAUUCGGUCUAUACAUCUUCACCCCUAUGCAGUACUUCUCAGUCUUUCACAACUCAGAACUCUCUCUCCACAUAAUUUCGUUACUUUUCCCUUCUCUCCGACCUUAUUUCCUAUACUCACCGCUCUGUCGGAAUGCCGUCUAACUCCAACCUCCUCUUUUGGUGAAGGUUGAAGUUACAAUUUACAACUGGCAAUUCAAGAUCGUCGUCGUCGCAUGAAUUGUAUCCCCAGUCGGAGUCGCUGUCGUAGACGCCAGCUCAUCGAACAGAGAAGAAGAAUAAGAAC
rnacentral:lncRNA from 1 species